CGUAUAUUAAAGUUGUUGCAGUUAAAAAGCUCGUAGUUGGAUUUGUGGCGUACGGUGUGUUCCGGGCACUUGUUGUCUGAGUAACCUGCUGUUGCCAUCCUUGGGUGGAACCUGUGUGGCAUUAGGUUGUCGUGCAGGGGAUGCCCAUCUUUUACUGUGAAAAAAUUAGAGUGUUCAAAGCAGGCUUAUGCCGUUGAAUAUAUUAGCAUGGAAUAAUGAGAUAGGACUUUUUUACUAUUUUGUUGGUUUGCGUAAAGAGGUAAUGAUUAAUAGGGACAGUUGGGGG
rnacentral:rRNA from 1 species